CACGUGGCCACCGUUCCCUAAGAGUUGGAUUUCAUCCCUCAGUGCUGAAGGCAGGGGAUAGAGCUUAGACAGACCCCCUGCGUCCUGUCUUCUUUAUCUACAGCUUACUCAUCCUUGCCCCUUUCACGUGCACCCGGCAGAGCAGGUGUUCACUGAGCUUGAGCAAAAUUCAAGCUAGAGCAGCUGAUGGAUCCUGAGGCCUAGAUUCACUGUCAAAGUGUUUCUCAACGGUGCUCUCCAGAACACCAAGGAAAACUCAUUGACUGUAUAAGUCUGAAAAUCCCUGCCCACCGGUCUACCUUUGUGUAUGAGCAAUCAGCUCUACCAUUCAGCCCAGGUGUGUGUUUGCUGGACCAUGUGGAGGAAGCUGAAGAGACAUGAGCAGAAGGCAGAGGGGCCUAGGGGAUGCCAAAUUCCAGGGUCCAGAAAGAGCUUGGGAUAAAAUGAAACUUCAAGGGGACGGCUUUGACCUGGGCUGAGUCUGCCUGUGCCGAGUCUGCCUGUGCCAUCCAACUGGAGUCUCAAGUCCUGAGGCAGUACGUCCAGAUGCCCCAGUGCAGGGUCCUCCUGAUCAACACCUGCUCCCCUGUACUCAUUAGCAACCUCACCCACCCUACUCUCAAAGCACACUUGGCUCUCAUAUCCAGGAGCUCUGCAUCUGUGGAUUCAGCAACAGCAGAUGGAAAAUAUUCAGAAAAUAAAUUGGACGGUUAUGUUUCUAUUGAAUUGCUCUUGUCAUUAUUCCCUAAAGAAUACAGUAUCACGACCAUUUAUGUAGCAUCUGCAUUGUAUUACACAUCCUGAAUAAUCUAGAGAUGGUCUAAUGUCUAC
rnacentral:lncRNA from 10 species